rnacentral:tRNA from 2 species
GGCUGGGUAGCUCAGUCGGUAGAGCAGAGGACUGAAAAUCCUUGUGUCGGCGGUUCGAUUCCGCCCCCAGCCACCA